UACGAACUGUGCAAACGUUAUUCGGAAUCACUGGGCUUAAAGGGUGCGUAGGCGGUCAUUUAGGUAGGGUGUGAAAGCCCCCGGCUCAACCGGGGUAUUGCGCCCUAAACCGGGUGACUGGAGUGAGAUAGGGGUGUGUGGAACUUCCGGUGGAGCGGUGAAAUGUGUUGAUAUCGGAAGGAACGCCGGUGGCGAAAGCGACACACUGGGUCUCAACUGACGCUGAGGCACGAAAGCCAGGGGAGCAAACAGG
rnacentral:rRNA from 1 species